AGUGAACGCUGGCGGUAGGCCUAACACAUGCAAGUCGAACGGCAGCACAGUAAGAGCUUGCUCUUACGGGUGGCGAGUGGCGGACGGGUGAGGAAUACAUCGGAAUCUACUUUUUCGUGGGGGAUAACGUAGGGAAACUUACGCUAAUACCGCAUACGACCUACGGGUGAAAGCAGGGGAUCUUCGGACCUUGCGCGAUUGAAUGAGCCGAUGUCGGAUUAGCUAGUUGGCGGGGUAAAGGCCCACCAAGGCGACGAUCCGUAGCUGGUCUGAGAGGAUGAUUGGCCACACUGGAACUGAGACACGGUCCAGACUCCUACGGGAGGCAGCAGUGGGGAAUAUUGGACAAUGGGCGCAAGCCUGAUCCAGCCAUACCGCGUGGGUGAAGAAGGCCUUCGGGUUGUAAAGCCCUUUUGUUGGGAAAGAAAAGCAGCAGGUUAAUACCCCGCUGUUCUGACGGUACCCAAAGAAUAAGCACCGGCUAACUUCGUG
rnacentral:rRNA from 1 species